CACGGAGGGCGCGAGCGUUGUUCGGAAUCACUGGGCGUAAAGCGCACGUAGGCGGUUGCGCAAGUCGUUUGUGAAAGCCCGAGGCUCAACUUCGGGAUGCCAGGCGAUACUGCGUAACUGGAGCACGGUAGAGGCAAGCGGAAUUCCCGGUGUAGCGGUGGAAUGCGUAGAUAUCGGGAAGAACACCAGUGGCGAAGGCGGCUUGCUGGGCCGUUGCUGACGCUGAGGUGCGAAAGCGUGGGGAGCAAACAGG
rnacentral:misc_RNA from 1 species